rnacentral:rRNA from 1 species
CCUACGGGAGACAGCAGUGAGGAAUAUUGGUCAAUGGACGAGAGUCUGAACCAGCCAAGUAGCGUGAAGGAUGACUGCUCUAUGGGUUGUAAACUUCUUUUAUAUGGGAAUAAAAUGUUCCACGUGUGGGAUUUUGUAUGUACCAUAUGAAUAAGGAUCGGCUAACUCCGUGCCAGCAGCCGCGGUAAUACGGAGGAACCGAGCGUUAUCCGGAUUUAUUGGGUUUAAAGGGAGCGUAGGUGGAUUGUUAAGUCAGUUGUGAAAGUUUGCGGCUCAACCGUAAAAUUGCAGUUGAAACUGGCAGUCUUGAUUACAGUAGAGGUGGGCGGAAUUCGUGGUGUAGCGGUGAAAUGCUUAGAUAUCACGAAGAACUCCGAUGGCGAAGGCAGUUCACUGGACUGCAACUGACACUGAGGCUCGAAAGUGUGGGUAUCAAACAGGAUUAGAUACCCCUGUAGUC